CGGUCGCCGCGGGAAUACGUAGGUGGCAAGCGUUGUCCGGAAUUAUUGGGCGUAAAGGGCUCGCAGGCGGUUUCUUAAGUCUGAUGUGAAAGCCCCCGGCUCAACCGGGGAGGGUCAUUGGAAACUGGGAAACUUGAGUGCAGAAGAGGAGAGUGGAAUUCCACGUGUAGCGGUGAAAUGCGUAGAGAUGUGGAGGAACACCAGUGGCGAAGGCGACUCUCUGGUCUGUAACUGACGCUGAGGAGCGAAAGCGUGGGGAGCGAACAGGAUUAGAGACCCCCGUAGUCCCUGUCUCUUAUAC
rnacentral:rRNA from 1 species